GACGAACGCUGGCGGCGUGCUUAACACAUGCAAUUCGAACGGAAAGGCCCUGCUUUUGUGGGGUGCUCGAGUGGCGAACGGGUGAGUAACACGUGAGUAACCUGCCCUUGACUUUGGGAUAACUUCAGGAAACUGGGGCUAAUACCGGAUAGGAGCUCCUGCUGCAUGGUGGGGAUUGGAAAGUUUCGGCGGUUGGGGAUGGACUCGCGGCUUAUCAGCUUGUUGGUGGGGUAGUGGCUUACCAAGGCUUUGACGGGUAGCCGGCCUGAGAGGGUGACCGGCCACAUUGGGACUGAGAUACGGCCCAGACUCCUACGGGAGGCAGCAGUGGGGAAUAUUGCACAAUGGGCGGAAGCCUGAUGCAGCAACGCCGCGUGCGGGAUGACGGCCUUCGGGUUGUAAACCGCUUUCGCCUGUGACGAAGCGUGAGUGACGGUAAUGGGUAAAGAAGCACCGGCUAACUACGUGCCAGCAGCCGCGGUGAUACGUAGGGUGCGAGCGUUGUCCGGAUUUAUUGGGCGUAAAGGGCUCGUAGGUGGUUGAUCGCGUCGGAAGUGUAAUCUUGGGGCUUAACCCUGAGCGUGCUUUCGAUACGGGUUGACUUGAGGAAGGUAGGGGAGAAUGGAAUUCCUGGUGGAGCGGUGGAAUGCGCAGAUAUCAGGAGGAACACCAGUGGCGAAGGCGGUUCUCUGGGCCUUUCCUGACGCUGAGGAGCGAAAGCGUGGGGAGCGAACAGGCUUAGAUACCCUGGUAGUCCACGCUGUAAACGGUGGGUACUAGGUGUGGGGUCCAUUCCACGGGUUCCGUGCCGUAGCUAACGCUUUAAGUACCCCGCCUGGGGAGUACGGCCGCAAGGCUAAAACUCAAAGGAAUUGACGGGGCCCCGCACAAGCGGCGGAGCAUGCGGAUUAAUUCGAUGCAACGCGUAGAACCUUACCUGGGUUUGACAUGGAUCGGGAGUGCUCAGAGAUGGGUGUGCCUCUUUUGGGGUCGGUUCACAGGUGGUGCAUGGCUGUCGUCAGCUCGUGUCGUGAGAUGUUGGGUUAAGUCCCGCAACGAGCGCAACCCUUGUUCACUGUUGCCAGCACGUUAUGGUGGGGACUCAGUGGAGACCGCCGGGGUCAACUCGGAGGAAGGUGGGGAUGACGUCAAGUCAUCAUGCCCCUUAUGUCCAGGGCUUCACGCAUGCUACAAUGGCUGGUACAGAGAGUGGCGAGCCUGUGAGGGUGAGCGAAUCUCGGAAAGCCGGUCUCAGUUCGGAUUGGGGUCUGCAACUCGACCUCAUGAAGUCGGAGUCGCUAGUAAUCGCAGAUCAGCAACGCUGCGGUGAAUACGUUCCCGGG
rnacentral:rRNA from 1 species